rnacentral:rRNA from 1 species
UACAGAGGGGGCAAGCGUUAUUCGGAAUUAUUGGGCGUAAAGGGCGCGUAGGCGGCCUGACAAGUGGAAGGUGAAAUCCCUCGGCUUAACCGAGGAACUGCCCUCCAAACUGUUUGGCUUGAGUCCGGGAGAGGUGAGUGGAAUUCCCAGUGUAGCGGUGAAAUGCGUAGAUAUUGGGAGGAACACCUGAGGCGAAGGCGGGCUACUGGGCCGAUACUGACGCUGAUGUGCGAAAGCCAGGGGAGCGAACGGG